AUCUCCAUAUCCCCUCCCCUGAUAGCUUUCUCAUUCUCUAUCCCUCUGGGAGUAUGGACCCAGGGUCGUUAUGGGUUGCAGAAGGUGGAAGGUCUGGCUUCUGUAAUGGCUUCCCGGCUGAACAUGGGUGUUGACUGGUCAAUCCAUACUCCCAGUCUGCCUCUCUCACUUCAGACUGUGACCAGAGACUUCAGGUGUGGAAUGACAACCCUUCAGCUUCAUCACUCGGGUUAUGGUGGUGCAGGGGACUGAACCUGGGACUUUGGAGCCUGAGGCAUGAGAGUCUCUUUGCAUAACCUGUAUUAUGCGAUCUACUCCUGCCCAUGCUAAGCUUUCUUAGCAAUAGGAACUAUAUACCUUUUUUGCCACCAUUCUGCACCCUGCUGUGAAUCUGAUGUUAAUGUUUUACUUAGUUCUGUGUGUUAGUCCUCUAACCACUUACAUGCAGUGGCUGGGUUUAAUUAUUGUCAUAAAGUGUAAUGAACAACAGAUACUGAAUAAAUAUUUUGAUGG